rnacentral:rRNA from 1 species
CCUACGGGAGGCAGCAGUGGGGAAUUUUGGACAAUGGGGGCAACCCUGAUCCAGCAAUGCCGCGUGUGUGAAGAAGGCCUUCGGGUUGUAAAGCACUUUUGUCCGGAAAGAAAACGUUCUGGUUAAUACCUGGGGCGGAUGACGGUACCGGAAGAAUAAGCACCGGCUAACUACGUGCCAGCAGCCGCGGUAAUACGUAGGGUGCGAGCGUUAAUCGGAAUUACUGGGCGUAAAGCGUGCGCAGGCGGUUUUGUAAGACAGGCGUGAAAUCCCCGAGCUCAACUUGGGAAUUGCGCUUGUGACUGCAAGGCUAGAGUAUGUCAGAGGGGGGUAGAAUUCCACGUGUAGCAGUGAAAUGCGUAGAGAUGUGGAGGAAUACCGAUGGCGAAGGCAGCCCCCUGGGACGUCACUGACGCUCAUGCACGAAAGCGUGGGGAGCAAACAGGAUUAGAUACCCUGGUAGUCCACGCCCUAAACGAUGUCAACUAGUUGUUGGGGAUUCAUUUCUUCAGUAACGUAGCUAACGCGUGAAGUUGACCGCCUGGGGAGUACGGUCGCAAGAUUAAAACUCAAAGGAAUUGACGG